GCAAUAAUAACGGGGGGUAGAGGUACCUUCGAGGAGGUGAACAGGACGAGAUAGGGUAGAUUAGGUCUAGACUGCCGGAUGCCCUGUGCCAGUGCGACUAGGCUGCCCGCAAGGUGGCGGUUCUAGAGUAGAAGGAAAAGGGUAAUUGGGUCGGGGUCGUCGUUCUCCUUCCUUGAACCGCGAGGACUGUGGGGGAAAUGGGGGUUGGAAGGCACACAACGUAGCAGAUAUUUUCAGGCCCCUUCGCUCCGAGCAACCUUUUCCCUGUCAGAAGACCUCUUCCUUUCCCGCUCCAACGCAGGGCGAGUAGGUGAACCGAGACGAGCGUAGAAGGAAGGAACAGCUAAGGCUAAGGGGAGCGAUCGAUUCCCUUCCCUUCCCUUCCCUUCCCUAGGGCUGCUGCUACCCCCUCCUGCCCGUCUAGGCGGCGCUGUCCCAGUAGUAGCUGUGCCUAGGGCCGUAGCUACUGUCGUACUGCUAGGAUUACCGAAAACCUCUUGGUUCACACCUCUAGUAACCCGACUGUUGGUAUAAACCGUUGCAGUGAUGGCUCAUACGAUGUGCGUUACGCGAGAACGACACACUCUCUCGUCCCGUAGGACUCCAAGGUCAUCGUCUCCCGUCGGGCCUCGGAGAAUUCCCUCCUCUCGGUGCGCAACGACUGAAACAAGUACCUAGGCUACCAGAACCAUUGAACAGAGAAGGACGUGGAUGAUGAUUCUUCCAACUCCUUUCACGACGGCUCAAGUACCAAUUAUUCCAGAGAGUCAAAGGACCUCUCUAUAGACAUGAACGUAACCCUGGGGACUGUUUACAGCGUAACCGGUAGUUUUCCCUGGGCAGUAAACGUUCGUUCCAGUUUUUUUAUCAGCACGACCCACCUCGAAAGAAGCGUCGACCUUUACAGUUGGGACGACGACUUCGUUUAUAGAUACCUCUAGGCCUACGUCGCCUACAUCAAAAAUGUAGUCCUCGUCUAUAACUACACCAACCGUAAUUGUAUUGUUGAGUUACGACAAAAUGUCUACUCCUAGAGAACCUUGACUUUUUGAGUUUUCCCCACGUGCGUGUCAAGAACACACUAUACACGUUCAAGAUGUCUCUAACCGUACUCUUCAGACUGCCGAAGGUUCCCUAAAAGGAUGUACUAGGACACUCGAAAUGUCGGAAUCAAGUGGGACUCAUGAAGUGUAAGUUCUUCCCACAACACUCUCAGCUCUGGGUCCCGUAAACGUGGCCGGUAUGAAACUACCUAGUACCUAACUUUUUCACCUUAAGUCUUUUAGGUACCAGCCCAAUACGUGGUUAAAGUCAACGUACCUGUCAGCUACACGGUUUCCAGGAACGUAUACACUUCUUCGACGACUACCGCGGGACUCUUAUCUUGGUCUCCAGAUAAGACUGAGAAACUCGACUUCACAUUACCAAGUCCAGUUGAGAGUACCGGUUUCGUAAAAAAAAAAGACAAAAAUCUUCGUUCGUAUCCUCCUUCCCUUCGAAGGAUCACGUUUAGUUUGAUACCCCAUUUAAGACGUAUACUGUCGUAACACUGUUGUAACUAAGGUUUAUAAAUAUAUAUGAUUCAUGUAAUGUUUAAACCCUUUUUGAAGGGGUAUGAGCAACGAAACACGGGUAGAACACAGAAACAAAUCGUCCGUAUAGAAACGUGUACAAAUCUGUUUACUCCUUCUAGAUAAACGAGUACAAACCGGCACAGCCCGAUUUGGACUAGACGGGUACUCUCCAGCUUGACUUGUACUAAACCGUGAUGAAGGAUGAAUAUCAACGGACGUGUAAAAUCCGGGAAAAAAACCUUGACAAAGACACACCCUUGCUUGGCUAACGGUACGUAAAAAAACACACUUUAAGGACACGAAGUUUGUACUGUACUUAUGUAUAUAAAAUAGUAGGGUCGAGUAAAGUUCUGUACUCGUUUAAUGUGUUUGGACUUGUAUAUUAAGUUCUUAUGUACGAACAAAAAAAACAAAAAUAGUGGCUAGUUACUACAGGAAGAGGUUGUAUUAUUAGAUCGGCCGUACACUUUUCAGAAGGAACAAAAAGGUAGUGUAUGGGUACGUUCUUCUUGUGCGCGCUACACCAAAAACCGAAACACCUCUUCUAUUCCACGUAUAUAGAACUAUUUAAAACGACACCAAAAUGAACUCGUGUAUGAACUCCUGUGGGCCAUACACCUAAAACAUCUUCAUCAGCAAGGUCAGCUGCCAGAACCCUAGUUUUAACUUGUACAGUAGGAGGCCCGAACAGAACCAGUACCAGUUAGCGUCGGCGAGGUUCAACUACAGCAGCUUCGAACUAAGUAAGUAAGUUACCAACCUGUUCAUUUCUUCUACUCUGCACUUCCUGUACGAUACAACCUUAACUGUUACUUCCAACCUGAUCGUCAUCAAACACUGCGAACGAAUGGUAGGAAACUUAUUCCGCUUCCCUGGCAUCUGCAGCUGCUCUACGUACUGCUUGAACAUAAAGGCCAACUCUAGCAGCAUCUCAACGCUGUUCUCCGGCGUCUCCUCGUCCAAGUGGUGCACGUCCUAGACGUGUGUGGUAAUUUAAAGUAAGUAAGAUUCUAAUCAUUUGAAAAAAAAUCUGCUUGUAUAAAAGAAGAACCUAACUAACGGAAUCUGUCUCUUCUCUUCUCUUUUCUUUGCUCUCUGCCUGGAGCUCACCGUCGAACAUGAACUACUCGUACAUGUUCACCUUCGACCGCUACCAGAACUUCUUCACGUAGAGGAACCACCCCUACUGGGCGGGCAGGAACGAGUCGGACCCCAAGAGCAUCUUCACGGCCGCCGGCCUGAGCAUCUCGUGCGGCAUCCCCCGGCCCAACGCGUCGCUCCUCCACCGCACCAUGUAGUGGAGGCGCGGGACGAGGAGGCUCACGCGGUGGUACCGGUGGUAGUACCGCAACCGGUGGUACAGGGGGCCCUAGUGCAGGUACCAGUCGAGGUCCAGGCGGUCCUUCGUGCUGUCCAAGACGAACCGCAUCGGCUACUACUACCACAGCUACCAGGCGCAGGGGACGUAGGUGGGCCCCUCGCCCAGGGACUCCUACGACCACUACUACGACCCGGCGUCCUAGUGGUGGCCCUACCGCGGCACCUCGACGGGGUCGUCGUAGAGCGGGUACCGGAACCACUUGUGCAUGCACAACCUGGUGGGCUUCACCGCCCUCGCGAGGUCGGGGUCGAGGAAGUACGGAAAGGCGAGGGAAAACCAGAACAGCGGCGGCGGCGGCGGCAGGACGGCGAGAUCGAGGAAGAAGUGCAGCGGCCGGUCGGCGUCGAGCCGCAGCUACAGGUCCAUCCACGGAAGGGAGUCCCAGAGGGGGAAGAACUUGCCGGAGAGGUACUAGUCGGGAAGGGACAGCGGCCGACGUUUACGACGCCGUAGGUUGUAAAAGAGAGAGAGAGAGUCGUUAAGUCGAGUCGUAAAAAGCUGUGUUUAGGUUGUUCUCUUUUCACGACUGGCCACCUUUGUACCUCCUCGUAGAACUCUAACCGUGUGAAGAACCGCUUGACCGUGUCUUCAACCACCAACGUCGAGGUAACUGCUACUACAGCUGGAGCAACCGGUCGAGGAGGUUGGACCCUCGUAGAUCGGGGUACAAGAGCUUCUGCUGCAGUGGCCGGUUUCCCUGUUGGAAGAGGAGGUGUUUGUCGAGCUUAGGAGGGAACGGUACGAAGAGAAAGUCCUCCGUCUUCUCGAGUCACAGACAGUGGACUUGGUAGUUUAUUCGCAAAGCAGGAGUAAAACGACUUUUGAGUCAAACGUGACAGACAUGAUAAAGAAAUCAUUAUUGGUGUGUACGGUAAGCACCUACUAAUUAGCACGCAACGCUGCAAAGUCUCCACCUAUCUUUUUUUUUCUCAUUUUGUAUGAGGAGGAUGAUGUAUGCUAACCUGCUUCCUGCUGGCCUGUCUGUUUGGAUGGUCAACGGUGUUCUCCCAGCGGUGGUUUCUAGAGCCUCUACUACACCCAUAUGAUUUGACGUGUACGGGAAGCGACGUCAUGUCAUUAUUCAUACUUGUGCGUGUAUGGGGCAUCACCACUUAACGAUCGUGAUCGCCAUGGUGACGGUCCGUCCCCUAGAUAGGAAGGGAUAGAAAUGGGGAGAGAGACCCGACAAAAAAAAAAAACCAUAACUUAACCAGACCCGACUUAAUAAUCGGGGAAAAAAUUACCACACACAUCCCAUGCGCACUUGAAAAAACAAAACAAAAACAAAAGACCCUCCCAUACGCACUUCCCUACUUGAGUUUAGUUGGCUGAGGGGUAAACCGAGUAAGUAAACCACACGGAUCAGCAUUCGGGUAAUCCCGUACAUAUGUUACUACCGUAUACCUAUAUGUACGAGGUACUAUUUUUCAUCAAAC
rnacentral:rRNA from 1 species